UAUCUCUGUAGAGUCUGCAUAUCAAUAAGCGGAGGAAAAGAAACUAACUAAGGAUUCCCCUUAGUAACGGCGAGUGAAGCGGGAAGAGCUCAAAUUUGAAAUCUUCAAGGGUUCUACCUUUACGAAUUGUAGUUUAAAGAAGUGUUUUCUGUUGGAGUUUUGGUAAAAGUUCUUUGGAAUAGGACAUCAUAGAGGGUGAGAAUCCCGUAUUUGACCAUUAUUUCCAGCUUUGUGAUACACUUUCAAAGAGUCGGAUUGUUUGGGAAUGCAGUCCAAAAUGGGUGGUAAAUUUCAUCUAAAGCUAAAUAUUGGCGAGAGACCGAUAGCGAACAAGUACCGUGAGGGAAAGAUGAAAAGAACUUUGAAAAGAGAGUUAAGCAGUACGUGAAAUUGUCAAAAGGGAAGCGUUUGACACCAGUGUUGUUUUCUCGAAAAUCAAUUAAAAAAGGCCGGAUUUUGUGUUGUAUUGACCUUAAAAGCUUUCUUCACUCUUUUCUUGUCUUUUUUAAUGCACUUUUCGUUUAACAAGUCAACAUCAGUUUCUUUUGUUGUAAAAGGGUCAUUGGAAGGUGGCUUUCUUUUCGGAGAAAGUGUUUAUAGCCUUUGAUCUCUGCAACCGGAGAGACUGAGGUCUGCAGCGUAGACUCUUCGGGGUUAGAUACAUUUGUGCUAAGCUAUAGCUUUUUAUAGACAACUUGUUGACUAUAUUUAGUCUUGUGGCUUACUCGCUUAUGCUAUUUUACCUACGCUUAGGAUGUUGACGCAUGAGAUAUACGC
rnacentral:rRNA from 1 species